GGGAAGGUGGCUCAGUGGUAGAGUGCUUGCCUUGCAUGCAUGAGGCCCUGGGUUUGAUUCCUCAGCACCCCUU
rnacentral:tRNA from 1 species